AUCUGGGCGGCGGAAUUCAGGGUGGCUGACGUGCUCUCGCGGUGCGUCGGUCGUUUGAUAUUUCCGUUGCCAACUAACCGCAGACGUCGCGACCUGUUCGCGGUCGGUCCCUGCUCGGAGGAGCCGCGUUCGAGUUCGUUGUGUGCGCGUCUCGGCGCGUCACACGGCGAAGGCGCGGAUCUCUGGCUGACCGUCGGACAGUAUGCUUAACGGUGUCCGGUGUCGUCGUCUCGUACGCGCGGCACCGGUACCGGUCAGCGACGAAUUCUUCGGGCCUCUUUCCGACCCGUCUUGAAACACGGACCAAGGAGUCUAACAUGCGCGCGAGUCGCGGGGUAUCGAGCGUACUUCGGUGCGUUCGUUAUGUUGCGAAACCCGUACAUGUCGAAGGCGUAAUGAAAGUGAAUGGGGAAGAUGGUGUUCCGAGUACACGUUUCCGCGAUCGUCGGUAUCGCGGCCGGGCACCCGCAUUCCCAGGGCGUCUCAACGGCCCGUCGUUGAUGCGGACAGUCGUCUUUCGGGGCGGCUGUCGGUCGGCGACGAACCGA
rnacentral:rRNA from 1 species